rnacentral:rRNA from 1 species
AGACCCGAAACCCGGUGAUCUAGCCAUGGGCAGGUUGAAGGUUGGGUAACACUAACUGGAGGACCGAACCGACUAAUGUUGAAAAAUUAGCGGAUGACCUGUGGCUGGGGGUGAAAGGCCAAUCAAACCGGGAGAUAGCUGGUUCUCCCCGAAAGCUAUUUAGGUAGCGCCUCGUGAAUUCAUCUCCGGGGGUAGAGCACUGUUUCGGCUAGGGGGCCAUCCCGGCUUACCAACCCGAUGCAAACUGCGAAUACCGGAGAAUGUUAUCACGGGAGACACACGGCGGGUGCUAACGUCCGUCGUGAAGAGGGAAACAACCCAGACCGCCAGCUAAGGUCCCAAAGUCAUGGUUAAGUGGGAAACGAUGUGGGAAGGCCCAGACAGCCAGGAUGUUGGCUUAGAAGCAGCCAUCAUUUAAAGAAAGCGUAAUAGCUCACUGGUCGAGUCGGCCUGCGCGGAAGAUGUAACGGGGCUAAACCAUGCACCGAAGCUGCGGCAGCGAACGUAUCACUUAAAGCGAUUCAGCGGGUUACGAUUGACGGAGCGAAGCGACGUCAAAGCGUAUACAAAGUCGAGUCGGUUUAAGGAUACGUUCGUUGGGUAGGGGAGCGUUCUGUAAGCCUGCGAAGGUGGCCUGUGAGGGUUGCUGGAGGUAUCAGAAGUGCGAAUGCUGACAUAAGUAACGAUAAAGCGGGUGAAAAGCCCGCUCGCCGGAAGACCAAGGGUUCCUGUCCAACGUUAAUCGGGGCAGGGUGAGUCGACCCCUAAGGCGAGGCCGAAAGGCGUAGUCGAUGGGAAACGGGUUAAUAUUCCCGUACUUGGUGUUACUGCGAAGGGGGGACGGAGAA